CAGAUCUUGAAGUCACGAAUAGGUAGAGGUCAGUAGGGACAACUCAGUUCCCCCUCCAAGCAAAGGAGUUACUAUGGAGAGGGGGUGCUCCA